UACGUAGGGUGCAAGCGUUGUCCGGAAUUAUUGGGCGUAAAGAGCUCGUAGGCGGUUUGUCGCGUCUGCUGUGAAAACUCGGGGCUCAACUCCGAGCCUGCGUUCGAUACUGGAUGGCUAGAGUCUGGUAGGGGGAUCUGGAAUUCCUGGUGUAGCGGUGGAAUGCGCAGAUAUCAGGAGGAACACCGGUGGCGAAGGCGGUUCUCUGGGCCUGUACUGACGCUGAGGAACGAAAGCGUGGGGAGCGAACAGG
rnacentral:rRNA from 1 species